AGUCGAACGAUGAACCUCCUUCGGGAGGGGAUUAGUGGCGAACGGGUGAGUAACACGUGGGCAAUCUGCCCUGCACUCUGGGACAAGCCCUGGAAACGGGGUCUAAUACCGGAUACUGAUCAUCUUGGGCAUCCUUGGUGAUCGAAAGCUCCGGCGGUGCAGGAUGAGCCCGCGGCCUAUCAGCUUGUUGGUGAGGUAAUGGCUCACCAAGGCGACGACGGGUAGCCGGCCUGAGAGGGCGACCGGCCACACUGGGACUGAGACACGGCCCAGACUCCUACGGGAGGCAGCAGUGGGGAAUAUUGCACAAUGGGCGAAAGCCUGAUGCAGCGACGCCGCGUGAGGGAUGACGGCCUUCGGGUUGUAAACCUCUUUCAGCAGGGAAGAAGCGAAAGUGACGGUACCUGCAGAAGAAGCGCCGGCUAACUACGUGCCAGCAGCCGCGGUAAUACGUAGGGCGCGAGCGUUGUCCGGAAUUAUUGGGCGUAAAGAGCUCGUAGGCGGCUUGUCGCGUCGGUUGUGAAAGCCCGGGGCUUAACCCCGGGUCUGCAGUCGAUACGGGCAGGCUAGAGUUCGGUAGGGGAGAUCGGAAUUCCUGGUGUAGCGGUGAAAUGCGCAGAUAUCAGGAGGAACACCGGUGGCGAAGGCGGAUCUCUGGGCCGAUACUGACGCUGAGGAGCGAAAGCGUGGGGAGCGAACAGGAUUAGAUACUCUGGUAGUCCACGCCGUAAACGGUGAGCACUAUGUGUGGGCGAUAUUCCACGUGAUCCGUGCGGCAUCUAACGCAUUAAGUGAGACUCCUGAGGAGUACAGCCGCAUUGGGGCUACUCAUAAGAGAUGUCGGAGGGCGCGCACAAACGCCGGGAGUAUGUGGCUGAUUUCUACACACCGCGCAGAA
rnacentral:rRNA from 1 species